rnacentral:rRNA from 1 species
AGUGGCGAACGGGUGAGGAAUUCAUGGAUAACGUGCCCCGGACUCAGGGAUAGCGUUGUGAAAACGACGGUAAUACCUGAUGACCCCGUAGGACCGCAUGGUCUCGCGGGCAAAGCUCCGACGGUCCGGGAGCGAUUCAUGUCCUAUCAGCUAGUUGGUGAGGUAACGGCUCACCAAGGCAACGACGGGUAUCGGGCGUGAGAGCGUGACCCGACACAUCGGAACUGAGAUACGGUCCGGACACCUACGGGUGGCUGCAGCAACGAAUAUUCCGCAAUGGACGAAAGUCUGACGGAGCGACGCCGCGUGCAGGAAGAAGUCCCUCGGGAUGUAAACUGCUGUCAGGGGUUAGGAACACAAUGACCAACCCCAGAGGAAGCCACGGCUAACUCCGUGCCAGCAGCCGCGGUAAUACGGAGGUGGCGAGCGUUGUUCGGAAUCACUGGGCUUAAAGCGCGUGUAGGCGGGGCGGCAAGUGUCGGGUGAAAGCCCUCGGCUCAACCGAGGAACGGUCCGGCAAACUGCCGUCCUUGAGGUAGACAGAGGUCACUGGAACGACGGGUGGAGCGGUGAAAUGCGUAGAUAUCCGUUGGAACGCCGGCGGCGAAAGCGAGUGACUGGGUCUGUCCUGACGCUGAGACGCGAAAGCGUGGGUAGCAAACAGGAUUAGAUACCCUGGUAGUCCACGCCGUAAACGAUGCGCACUAGGUAUGAGGGACUCUGACGUCAAUCGUGCCGAAGCAAAAGUGCUAAGUGCGCCGCCUGGGGAGUACGGCCGCAAGGCUAAAACUCAAAGGAAUUGACGGGGGCUCACACAAGCAGUGGAGCAUGUGGAUUAAUUCGAAGCAACGCGAAGAACCUUACCUGGGUUUGACAUGCUUGGAUGCCCUUCUGGAAACAGGAGUAAGCUGCCUUCGGGUGAAACUUGCACAGGUGCUGCAUGGCUGUCGUCAGCUCGUGCUGUGAAGUGUCGGGUUAAGUCCCUUAACGAGCGAAACCCCUAUCGUUAGUUGCCAUCGGGUCAUGCCGGGAACUCUAGCGAGACCGCCGGCGUCAAGCCGGAGGAAGGCGGGGACGACGUCAAGUCAUCAUGGCCUUUAUGCCCAGGGUUUCGCACGUGCUACAAUGGUCCGUACAGAGCGAAGCGAGACCGCGAGGUGGAGCAAAUCGCACAAAGCGGGCCCCGGUUCAGAUUGGAGUCUGC